rnacentral:lncRNA from 1 species
GGUCACCUCUGUCCAGAGAAAUAAAAGAGACCAAAAAGGGACCUAAACCUAAAUCCCCAGCUUCUCCUUUUAGCGACAGCAACCAAUCUACUCGGAGGGAGAUGACUAGUGAAGCUAAACCAACGUGAAGGUGGAUCGCGGUGGUGCGAUUGGCGGAUGGAAUCGUGCCGCUCAUAACUGUGUUUCUGAAACUGUGGGUUUGUGACAACCCGACCCAAGAGAAGGUGGCCCACGUCUAGAAGGAGUCUGGCAGCGGCGGCGUCGCCAUUCAUGACUCUGGUGGUGACAAAAAAGAACACGCACUGGACAGAGAAGAGCAAUGUCCUUGACGACUCCGAUGGUAAAGGAAAAAGAGGAUAUGGUGGUUCAUGGCUUAUGUGUACGUCUCCGGUGAAGCCGAAGGCUCCUGCCGGCGGUGAGUUCCCAACGAAGGCAGGUUGCGUUUGGCCUAUUGAUGGUAGCGAUCCAUGGCACCAAUGAUUUUUAUUUACCGGGCACAGAGACACAAUCUCAUAUUAGUGUAGGUUAAUGUUCUUUGUUUAUGAUUUGUGUUGAAGCUGAAUGUAUAUUUGAAAGUUGUUUUGCCCAAAAUGCUUAUGCACGGGUAGUGAUGCUAACCUGGCGACCACGGCUUGAUCUAGCUAGUUUCUUUGCUUUUUCCUUUUGAGUAUUUUUACUAUCUUAAGCAACCUUCGGGGUAUGUUAGCUUCUGUUUUUGGGAUAAUCUGUACCCAAUGCUGAAAUCCCCUUCUUCUAGACUGGUUUGGAUGGUUUAGACACCUACUUGAUUUUGUGUGCUUAACUUUGCACUAAUUUUGUAUUCACUGUUGCCAAUAUCCUUUCCCUUUUCUCUCUUGUUCUCUUAUUUUCUCCCAUUUUUCCGUGCCCCCUUUACUUAAAGCCAAGAACCCACAAAAGAAAAACUUAUUU